UGGGGAAUUUUGGACAAUGGGGGAAACCCUGAUCCAGCCAUCCCGCGUGUGCGAUGAAGGCCUUCGGGUUGUAAAGCGCUUUUUGGCAGGAAAGAAACGUCGCGGGUUAAUACCCCGCGAAACUACGGUACCUGCAGAAUAAGCACCGGCUAACUACGUGCCAGCAGCCGCGGUAAUACGUAGGGUGCAAGCGUUAAUCGGAAUUACUGGGCGUAAAGCGUGCGCAGGCGGUUCGGAAAAGAAAGAUGUGAAAUCCCCAGAGCUUAACUUUGGAACUGCAUUUUUAAACUACCGGGCUAGAGUNUGUCAGAGGGAGGUGGAAUUCCCGUGUAGCAGUGAAAUGCGUAGAUAUGCGGAGGAGCACCGAUGGCGAAAGGCAGCCUCCUGGGAUAACACUGACGCUCAUGCACGAAAGCGUGGGGAGC
rnacentral:rRNA from 1 species